GACGAACGCUGGCGGCGUGCCUAAUACAUGCAAGUAGAACGCUGAAGAGAGGAGCUUGCUCUUCUUGGAUGAGUUGCGAACGGGUGAGUAACGCGUAGGUAACCUGCCUUGUAGCGGGGGAUAACUAUUGGAAACGAUAGCUAAUACCGCAUAACAAUGGCUGACACAUGUCAUUUAUUUGAAAGGGGCAAUUGCUCCACUACAAGAUGGACCUGCGUUUUAUUAGCUAGUAGGUGAGGUAAUGGCUCACCUAGGCGACGAUACAUAGCCGACCUGAGAGGGUGAGCGGCCAACCUGGGACUGAGACACGGCCCAGACUCCUACGGGAGGCAGAAGUAGGGAAUCUUCGGCAAUGGGGGCAAACCUGACCGAGCAACGCCGCGUGAGUGAAGAAGGUUUUCGGAUCGUAAAGCUCUGUUGUAAGUCAAGAACGGGUGUGAGAGUGGAAAGUUCACACUGUGACGGUAGCUUACCAGAAAGGGACGGCUAACUACGUG
rnacentral:rRNA from 1 species